rnacentral:rRNA from 1 species
CCUACGGGUGGCUGCAGUGGGGAAUUUUGGACAAUGGGGGCAACCCUGAUCCAGCCAUGCCGCGUGCGGGAAGAAGGCCUUCGGGUUGUAAACCGCUUUCGGCCGGAACGAAAUCGCCGGGGAGAACAUCCCCGGUGGAUGACGGUACCGGAAGAAGAAGCACCGGCUAACUACGUGCCAGCAGCCGCGGUAAUACGUAGCGGAAGUGCGGUAAGCGGAAUGACCGGGCGCAAAGCGCUAGCAGGGGGGUGAAAUCCCCGGGCUUAACCUGGGAACUGCGUUUGUGACUGGCGGGCUGGAGUGCGGAAGAGGGAGGUGGAAUUCCACGUGUAGCAGUGAAAUGCGUAGAGAUGUGGAGGAACACCGAUGGCGAAGGCAGCCUCCUGGUCUAGCACUGACGCUCAUGCACGAAAGCGUGGGGAGCAAACAGGAUUAGAUACCCUAGUAGUC